UACGUAGGGUGCAAGCGUUAUCCGGAAUUAUUGGGCGUAAAGAGCUCGUAGGCGGUUUGUCGCGUCUGCUGUGAAAACCCGAGGCUCAACCUCGGGCCUGCAGUGGGUACGGGCAGACUAGAGUGCGGUAGGGGAGAUUGGAAUUCCUGGUGUAGCGGUGGAAUGCGCAGAUAUCUGGAGGAACACCGGUGGCGAAGGCGGCAUCCUGGACCAAUUCUGACGCUGAGUGAGCGAAAGCCAGGGGAGCAAACGGG
rnacentral:rRNA from 1 species